UACGUAGGUGGCAAGCGUUGUCCGGAUUUACUGGGCGUAAAGGGAGCGUAGGCGGAUUUUUAAGUGAGAUGUGAAAUACCCGGGCUUAACUUGGGUGCUGCAUUUCAAACUGGAAGUCUAGAGUGCAGGAGAGGAGAAGGGAAUUCCUAGUGUAGCGGUGAAAUGCGUAGAGAUUAGGAAGAACACCAGUGGCGAAGGCGAUUCUCUGGACUGUAACUGACGCUGAGGCUCGAAAGCAUGGGUAGCGAACAGGAUUAGAUACCCGCGUA
rnacentral:rRNA from 1 species